rnacentral:rRNA from 1 species
UACAGAGGGUGCGAGCGUUAAUCGGAAUUACUGGGCGUAAGGCGCGCGUAGGCGGCUUUGCAAGUCGGGUGUGAAAUCCCCAGGCUUAACCUGGGAACUGCAUUCGAGACUGCAUUGCUAGAGUAUGGGAGAGGGAAGUGGAAUUUCCGGUGUAGCGGUGAAAUGCGUAGAUAUCGGAAGGAACAUCAGUGGCGAAAGCGACUUCCUGGACCAAUACUGACGCUCAUGUGCGAAAGCGUGGGGAGCAAACAGG